UGUGAAAGCCCACGGCUCAACCGUGGAGGGGCAUUGGAAACUGGGAGACUUGAGUGCAGAAGAGGAAAGUGGAAUUCCAUGUGUAGCGGUGAAAUGCGUAGAGAUAUGGAGGAACACCAGUGGCGAAGGCGACUUUCUGGUCUGUAACUGACGCUGAGGCGCGAAAGCGUGGGGAGCAAACAGGAUUAGAUACCCUGGUAGUCCACGCCGUAAACGAUGAGUGCUAAGUGUUAGAGGGUUUCCGCCCUUUAGUGCUGAAGUUAACGCAUUAAGCACUCCGCCUGGGGAGUACGGCCGCAAGGCUGAAACUCAA
rnacentral:rRNA from 1 species